rnacentral:rRNA from 1 species
GGGGAAUAUUGCACAAUGGGCGAAAGCCUGAUGCAGCAACGCCGCGUGAGUGAUGAAGGUCUUCGGAUUGUAAAGCUCUGUCUUUUGGGACGAUAAUGACGGUACCAAAGGAGGAAGCCACGGCUAACUACGUGCCAGCAGCCGCGGUAAUACGUAGGUGGCGAGCGUUGUCCGGAUUUACUGGGCGUAAAGGGUGCGUAGGCGGAUGUUUAAGUGAGAUGUGAAAUACCCGGGCUUAACUUGGGUGCUGCAUUUCAAACUGGAUAUCUAGAGUGCAGGAGAGGAGAAUGGAAUUCCUAGUGUAGCGGUGAAAUGCGUAGAGAUUAGG